CCUUCUGCUUUGACGGGCAACACGAGCACACGGCAACAAGCCAACAAGGCCAGCUCCUUCGGCACCGCGACCCGUCUCCUCCCUUCGCUCCCCCAGCGCCUGCCGCUCUCCACGAGGUCGGCCCGUGCGCCGCCCUCCCCCUCCACGCUCCCCUGCCCAGCUGCAGCUCGGCCUCCCCUCCCUUCCCACGAAUUCUCUGUUCUUUCUCUCGGCCUCGGUCUUCCUUUCAUAGCGGCGACUAGAGGGCGAGUUGCGCUGCCCGUUGUUCGUCGAGCGAGGGGCGCUUCGCCGGCGACGAACAUCCGACAGAGGAAUAUACCAUGGUCAGACCGAUGGUAGCGCUACGUGCUGCUCUAGUUGGUGGGAUAGCAGCAUUUGCGAAGAUCGGUGGGGCGAUGAAAGCUGCAGGAGGUGUCAAGAUUGGUGCAGCGGCUGCGGCUGUGACAGCGGCAGCAUCAGCUGCAGUAUCCGGAAAAGACACAAGCAAAGACCCUUCUAAGGCAGAAACAAAAUGAUAUAUACCAUGGAUUUGUGGAGAAGUAUGAAAUUGCUUCUCCAGAGGUCUAGAAGAGAAAGGAUGGCCGUAGUCAAUAAACUACUGGAGCAGUUUUUCAUGCUCCAUGUUUUUAUUUAUAAUCUUGAAAUAAGAAUGACAGUGUUGAGUUUUCCCCAAAUUAUGGUACCUCAUUCAAUAGUUUUGGUUGCUCAAUGUCACGAGCUACCUGUUACUCACAUUGUAUUGUAUGCUUAACCUGAUUUCUGCUGCCAUAUUGUGAGGGCAAUGCAUCGACUAUGAUCUGUUUGCACUAUGCAGGUGGAUCCUGUAGCUCUUGUGCAGUUUCGAAGUGUAAGCUCUUGUACACCAGGACUCCAGGUCCCAGGAUAUGUACAACUGAAGUAUCUCCUAAUUGUAGAUUGUAGAAUAUUGUUAAUGUAA